GCAGCAGUGGGGAAUAUUGGACAAUGGGCGCAAGCCUGAUCCAGCCAUACCGCGUGGGUGAAGAAGGCCUUCGGGUUGUAAAGCCCUUUUGUUGGGAAAGAAAAGCAUUCGGUUAAUACCCGAUUGUUCUGACGGUACCCAAAGAAUAAGCACCGGCUAACUUCGUGCCAGCAGCCGCGGUAAUACGAAGGGUGCAAGCGUUACUCGGAAUUACUGGGCGUAAAGCGUGCGUAGGUGGUUGUUUAAGUCUGUCGUGAAAGCCCUGGGCUCAACCUGGGAAUUGCGAUGGAAACUGGGCGACUAGAGUGUGGCAGAGGGUAGUGGAAUUCCUGGUGUAGCAGUGAAAUGCGUAGAGAUCAGGAGGAACAUCCGUGGCGAAGGCGACUGCCUGGGCCAACACUGACACUGAGGCACGAAAGCGUGGGGAGCAAACAGGAUUAGAUACCCUGGUAGUCCACGCCCUAAA
rnacentral:rRNA from 1 species